rnacentral:rRNA from 1 species
CAUGCAGUCGAACGGCAGCACGGGAGCAAUCCUGGUGGCGAGUGGCGAACGGGUGAGUAAUACAUCGGAACGUGCCCAGUAGUGGGGGAUAGCCCGGCGAAAGCCGGAUUAAUACCGCAUACGACCUACGGGUGAAAGCGGGGGAUCGCAAGACCUCGCGUUAUUGGAGCGGCCGAUGUCAGAUUAGGUUGUUGGUGGGGUAAAGGCCCACCAAGCCGACGAUCUGUAGCUGGUCUGAGAGGACGACCAGCCACACUGGGACUGAGACACGGCCCAGACUCCUACGGGAGGCAGCAGUGGGGAAUUUUGGACAAUGGGCGCAAGCCUGAUCCAGCCAUGCCGCGUGUGGGAAGAAGGCCUUCGGGUUGUAAACCACUUUUGUCAGGGAAGAAACGGUUUGGCCUAAUACGCUGAGCUAAUGACGGUACCUGAAGAAUAAGCACCGGCUAACUACGUGCCAGCAGCCGCGGUAAUACGUAGGGUGCAAGCGUUAAUCGGAAUUACUGGGCGUAAAGCGUGCGCAGGCGGCUUUGCAAGACAGAUGUGAAAUCCCCGGGCUCAACCUGGGAACUGCAUUUGUGACUGCAUGGCUAGAGUGCGGCAGAGGGGGAUGGAAUUCCGCGUGUAGCAGUGAAAUGCGUAGAUAUGCGGAGGAACACCGAUGGCGAAGGCAAUCCCCUGGGCCUGCACUGACGCUCAU